UACAGAGGGGGCAAGCGUUGUUCGGAAUUACUGGGCGUAAAGGGCGCGUAGGCGGCCUUCUAAGUCGAACGUGAAAUCCCCGGGCUCAACCCGGGAACUGCGUCCGAUACUGGAAGGCUUGAAUCCGGGAGAGGGAUGCGGAAUUCCAGGUGUAGCGGUGAAAUGCGUAGAUAUCUGGAGGAACACCGGUGGCGAAGGCGGCAUCCUGGACCGGCAUUGACGCUGAGGCGCGAAAGCCAGGGG
rnacentral:rRNA from 1 species